rnacentral:rRNA from 1 species
UAAAACGUAGGACGCGAGCGUUAUCCGGAUUUACUGGGCGUAAAGCGCGUGCAGGCGGCCUGUUAAGUCGUGCGUGAAAGCUCCCUGGCUCAACCGGGAGAGGCCGUACGAAACUAGCAGGCUAGAGGGCAGCAGAGGAGUGUGGAAUUCCGGGUGUAGUGGUGAAAUGCGUAGAUAUCCGGAGGAACACCAGUGGCGAAGGCGGCACUCUGGGCUGUACCUGACGCUAAGACGCGAAAGCGUGGGUAGCGAACGGGAUUAGAAACCCCGGUAGUCCACGCCGUAAACGAUGUGCACUAGGCGUAUGUUCUACGGAAUGUGUGCCGAAGCUAACGCGAUAAGUGCACCGCCUGGGGACUACGGCCGCAAGGCUA